rnacentral:rRNA from 1 species
GCAUAUCAAUAAGCGGAGGAAAAGAAACCAACAGGGAUUGCCUUAGUAACGGCGAGUGAAGCGGCAACAGCUCAAAUUUGAAAGCUGGCCCUUUCAGGGUCCGCGUUGUAAUUUGUAGAGGAUGAUUCGGCGAGGGCUCCCGCCUAAGUCCCCUGGAACGGGGCGUCAUAGAGGGUGAGAAUCCCGUAUGCGGUGGGCUGCCUUAGCCAUGUGAAUCUCCUUCGACGAGUCGAGUUGUUUGGGAAUGCAGCUCUAAAUGGGAGGUAAAUUUCUUCUAAAGCUAAAUACCGGCCAGAGACCGAUAGCGCACAAGUAGAGUGAUCGAAAGAUGAAAAGCACUUUGGAAAGAGAGUUAAAAAGUACGUGAAAUUGUUGAAAGGGAAGCGCUUGCAACCAGACUUGUCCGCAGUUGCUCAGCCGGUCUCCUGACCGGCGUACUCUUCUGCGGCCAGGCCAGCAUCAGUUCGGGCGGUCGGAUAAAGACCUCGGGAAUGUGGCUCCUCUCGGGGAGUGUUAUAGCCCGGGGUGGAAUGCGGCCAGCCUGGACUGAGGAUCUCGCUUCGGCAAGGAUGCUGGCGUAAUGGUUGUAAGCGGCCCGUCUUGAAACACGGACC